CCUACGGGAGGCAGCAGUCGAGAAUCAUUCACAAUGGGGGAAACCCUGAUGGUGCGACGCCGCGUGGGGGAAUGAAGGUCUUCGGAUUGUAAACCCCUGUCAUGUGGGAGCAAAUUAAAAAGAUAGUACCACAAGAGGAAGAGACGGCUAACUCUGUGCCAGCAGCCGCGGUAAUACAGAGGUCUCAAGCGUUGUUCGGAAUCACUGGGCGUAAAGCGUGCGUAGGCUGUUUCGUAAGUCGUGUGUGAAAGGCGCGGGCUCAACCCGCGGACGGCACAUGAUACUGCGAGACUAGAGUAAGGGAGGGGGAACCGGAAUUCUCGGUGUAGAGUGAAAUGCGUAGAUAUCGAGAGGAACACUCGUGGCGAAGGCGGGUUCCUGGACAUUAACUGACGCUGAGGCACGAAGGCCAGGGGAGCGAAAGGGAUUAGAUACCCGUGUAGUC
rnacentral:rRNA from 1 species